GUAAUACGUAGGGUGCAAGCGUUAUCCGGAAUUAUUGGGCGUAAAGAGCUCGUAGGCGGUUUGUCGCGUCUGCUGUGAAACCCCGAGGCUCAACCUCGGGCCUGCAGUGGGUACGGGCAGACUAGAGUGCGGUAGGGGAGAUUGGAAUUCCUGGUGUAGCGGUGGAAUGCGCAGAUAUCAGGAGGAACACCGAUGGCGAAGGCAGAUCUCUGGGCCGUAACUGACGCUGAGGAGCGAAAGGGUGGGGAGCAAACAGGCUUAGAUACCCUGGUAGUCCACCCCGUAAACGUUGGGAACUAGUUGUGGGGUCCAUUCCACGGAUUCCGUGACGCAGCUAACGCAUUAAGUUCCCCGCCUGGGGAGUACGGCCGCAAGGCUAAAACUCAAAGGAAUUGACGGGGACCCGCACAAGCGGCGGAGCAUGCGGAUUAAUUCGAUGCAACGCGAAGAACCUUACCAAGGCUUGACAUAUACGAGAACGGGCCAGAAAUGGUCAACUCUUUGGACACUCGUAAACAGGUGGUGCAUGGUUGUCGUCAGCUCGUGUCGUGAGAUGUUGGGUUAAGUCCCGCAACGAGCGCAACCCUCGUUCUAUGUUGCCAGCACGUAAUGGUGGGAACUCAUGGGAUACUGCCGGGGUCAACUCGGAGGAAGGUGGGGAUGACGUCAAAUCAUCAUGCCCCUUAUGUCUUGGGCUUCACGCAUGCUACAAUGGCCGGUACAAAGGGCUGCAAUACCGUAAGGUGGAGCGAAUCCCAAAAAGCCGGUCCCAGUUCGGAUUGAGGUCUGCAACUCGACCUCAUGAAGUCGGAGUCGCUAGUAAUCGCAGAUCAGCAACGCUGCGGUGAAUACGUUCCCGGGUCUUGUACACACCGCCCGUCAAGUCAUGAAAGUCGGUAACACCUGAAGCCGGUGGCCCAACCCUUGUGGAGGGAGCCGUCGAAGGUGGGAUCGGUAAUUAGGACUAAGUCGUANNAAGGAACCAAUCGAAUUCCCGCGGGCCGNNAUNNCG
rnacentral:rRNA from 1 species